AGAGUUUGAUCAUGGCUCAGGAUGAACGCUAGCGACAGGCUUAACACAUGCAAGUCGAGGGGCAGCACGGGAGUAGCAAUACAACUGGUGGCGACCGGCGCACGGGUGAGUAACGCGUAUGCAACCUACCUAUCAGAGGGGAAUAACCCGGCGAAAGUCGGACUAAUACCGCAUAAAACAGGGGCACCGCAUGGUGAUAUUUGUUAAAGAAAUUCGCUGAUAGAUGGGCAUGCGUUCCAUUAGGUAGUUGGUGAGGUAACGGCUCACCAAGCCGACGAUGGAUAGGGGAACUGAGAGGUUGGUCCCCCACACUGGUACUGAGACACGGACCAGACUCCUACGGGAGGCAGCAGUGAGGAAUAUUGGUCAAUGGGCGGGAGCCUGAACCAGCCAAGUCCGCGUGAAGGAAGAAGGAUCUAUGGUUCGUAAACUUCUUUUGCAGGGGAAUAAAGUGCGGGACGUGUCCUGUUUUGUAUGUACCCUGAGAAUAAGGAUCGGCUAACUCCGUGCCAGCCGCAGC
rnacentral:rRNA from 1 species